rnacentral:rRNA from 1 species
AUACGGAGGGGGCUAGCGUUGUUCGGAAUUACUGGGCGUAAAGCGCGUGUAGGCGGAUCGUUAAGUCAGGGGUGAAAGCCCGGGGCUCAACCCCGGAACUGCCCUUGAUACUGGCGAUCUAGAGUCCGGAAGAGGUGGGCGGAAUUCCCGGUUUAGAGGUGAAAUUCGUAGAUAUCGGGAGGAACACCAGUGGCGAAGGCGGCUCACUGGUCCGGCACUGACGCUGAGACGCGAAAGCGUGGGGAGCAAACAGGAUUAGAAACCCUAGUAGUCC